rnacentral:rRNA from 1 species
CAGCCGCCGCGGGAAUACGUAGGUGGCAAGCGUUGUCCGGAAUUAUUGGGCGUAAAGGGCUCGCAGGCGGUUUCUUAAGUCUGAUGUGAAAGCCCCCGGCUCAACCGGGGAGGGUCAUUGGAAACUGGGAAACUUGAGUGCAGAAGAGGAGAGUGGAAUUCCACGUGUAGCGGUGAAAUGCGUAGAGAUGUGGAGGAACACCAGUGGCGAAGGCGACUCUCUGGUCUGUAACUGACGCUGAGGAGCGAAAGCGUGGGGAGCGAACAGGAUUAGAUACCCCAGUAGUCCCUGUCUCUUAUCC